AAAACUUCCAAUUUUCCGAUUAUUUAAUUAACAACACGUUUUCGAGCAAAACAUUCACGCGCCAUUGUGUUUUCUUGUGGUCAUUCUAUCUUUUAAAUUUUAUGUGCGCAAGAUUGUGUGUUAUGCUGCUACACUUGAAAUGUAUUUCAGUGAUAAUAAAUAUCAUUUAUCUUACUUAUAGAUUUUAUUACUUGCACAUAAACGGGCGAUUCUCUCUCUCGCCGGCAAUCUAUGUGGUUAGCGCACAUAUAAUCUAUCAGUCAAAUAAUUUGAGUGUACGUGCACAGGACGAAAGAUUUCCAACCCCUAACUCCCAAGAAAUUGACGAGGAGGUUAGCCGGUUGAAAAACAACAAAGCCGCUGGAGCAGAUUAACUUCUAAAAUACGAUGGAUAAGCACACUGACAAAAUUGCAAAGUUUAAAUAUAUAAAGCUAAGAAACAUACUAAUUAUAAGACUUCUUGAGAAUUCGUUUUAUGUGUGCCAACAUACAAAGUAUAAUGGAAGCAUUAUUUAUCAUGAGGCUCCUUAUUAUGGUUAUGUUUGGGCAAACAUAAAAGUUAUAAUUGUUUUGUUAUAGUUAAGAAUAUAUAUAAUUUCACUUAUAAUUUCAAAGUUUGGGCUGUCUUGCUCGUGAUGCCGCCAAAAGAUAGCGUCAUCAAUUUUGCUACGGAACUGCAUCUGAAUAGAGGACCGCUGUACCACCGUUUUAAAUGUCUCCCGUAAAAGCAAUUUCUAUAUCAGACUGGAUUAUCCUCAUCGUCAGCCCUACCGCCAACUCGGAAACGGUUCAGCAUCUGUAGCUGGUCAAAAAAAAUCCCAAUGUUCGAUGAUCGCUGGUACCGGAACAUCCAGCAGCAACAGCAGUAGGAGCAGUAGGAUCGUUGGACCACCGCAUCCGGAUGUCUCCCGCAAAAGCCACUUUGACAACAGACUGGAUUACCAUCACCGCCAGCUCGGAAACGAUUAGGCAGCCGCACCUGGGUAAACGAUGUGAGCCCCAAAAUUCCGAUUCCGUUAAUCGUUAGUACCGGAUCACCCAGCAGCAACAGUAGAAGCGCCUACACCCGCAUGUAAUUAUCCCGCACCAGCAGCAGCCAGUUCCGGCAGACUUUCUGUUGUCCGGAUCUCAUCAACAACGGUAUCAAAGUCGAUAAGGGUAGGAUCGGAACGUUGGCAGGGGAAAUUCAGCGGAAUUGGCACCGAACCGGCAGUUCCAGAUCAUCAGCAGCAGCUUGAGCAGCAGGAAAGGUCCUAACGGAUGCAACAAAUUAUGCUACAUGGUUCUUUUUGGAAUGCCUUGGAGUUCACAAUGUCGUACGCACAGUACUUCGGCUUUGUUCAAUCAUUUUGCGGAAUUAUCCAUGGAAAUAGUGGAAUCUAAUCAUAUUUAUUUUCUUUGUUGAUUAUGGCAUAAAUAAAUUGUUUACAAAUAUA